rnacentral:rRNA from 1 species
GGGUUGUGAGGUUAAGCGACUAAGCGUACACGGUGGAUGCCCUGGCAGUCAGAGGCGAUGAAGGACGUGCUAAUCUGCGAUAAGCGUCGGUAAGGUGAUAUGAACCGUUAUAACCGGCGAUUUCCGAAUGGGGAAACCCAGUGUGAUUCGUCACACUAUCAUUAACUGAAUCCAUAGGUUAAUGAGGCGAACCGGGGGAACUGAAACAUCUAAGUACCCCGAGGAAAAGAAAUCAACCGAGAUUCCCCCAGUAGCGGCGAGCGAACGGGGAGCAGCCCAGAGCCUGAAUCAGUGUGUGUGUUAGUGGAAGCGUCUGGAAAGGCGCGCGAUACAGGGUGACAGCCCCGUACACAAAAAUGCACAUGCUGUGAGCUCGAUGAGUAGGGCGGGACACGUGGUAUCCUGUCUGAAUAUGGGGGGACCAUCCUCCAAGGCUAAAUACUCCUGACUGACCGAUAGUGAACCAGUACCGUGAGGGAAAGGCGAAAAGAACCCCGGCGAGGGGAGUGAAAAAGAACCUGAAACCGUGUACGUACAAGCAGUGGGAGCACAGAGCAAUCUGUGUGACUGCGUACCUUUUGUAUAAUGGGUCAGCGACUUAUAUUCUGUAGCAAGGUUAACCGAAUAGGGGAGCCGAAGGGAAACCGAGUCUUAACUGGGCGUUAAGUUGCAGGGUAUAGACCCGAAACCCGGUGAUCUAGCCAUGGGCAGGUUGAAGGUUGGGUAACACUAACUGGAGGACCGAACCGACUAAUGUUGAAAAAUUAGCGGAUGACUUGUGGCUGGGGGUGAAAGGCCAAUCAAACCGGGAGAUAGCUGGUUCUCCCCGAAAGCUAUUUAGGUAGCGCCUCGUGAAUUCAUCUCCGGGGGUAGAGCACUGUUUCGGCAAGGGGGUCAUCCCGACUUACCAACCCGAUGCAAACUGCGAAUACCGGAGAAUGUUAUCACGGGAGACACACGGCGGGUGCUAACGUCCGUCGUGAAGAGGGAAACAACCCAGACCGCCAGCUAAGGUCCCAAAGUCAUGGUUAAGUGGGAAACGAUGUGGGAAGGCCCAGACAGCCAGGAUGUUGGCUUAGAAGCAGCCAUCAUUUAAAGAAAGCGUAAUAGCUCACUGGUCGAGUCGGCCUGCGCGGAAGAUGUAACGGGGCUAAACCAUGCACCGAAGCUGCGGCAGCGACGCUUAUGCGUUGUUGGGUAGGGGAGCGUUCUGUAAGCCUGUGAAGGUGUACUGUGAGGUAUGCUGGAGGUAUCAGAAGUGCGAAUGCUGACAUAAGUAACGAUAAAGCGGGUGAAAAGCCCGCUCGCCGGAAGACCAAGGGUUCCUGUCCAACGUUAAUCGGGGCAGGGUGAGUCGACCCCUAAGGCGAGGCCGAAAGGCGUAGUCGAUGGGAAACAGGUUAAUAUUCCUGUACUUGGUGUUACUGCGAAGGGGGGACGGAGAAGGCUAUGUUGGCCGGGCGACGGUUGUCCCGGUUUAAGCGUGUAGGCUGGUUUUCCAGGCAAAUCCGGAAAAUCAAGGCUGAGGCGUGAUGACGAGGCACUACGGUGCUGAAGCAACAAAUGCCCUGCUUCCAGGAAAAGCCUCUAAGCAUCAGGUAACAUCAAAUCGUACCCCAAACCGACACAGGUGGUCAGGUAGAGAAUACCAAGGCGCUUGAGAGAACUCGGGUGAAGGAACUAGGCAAAAUGGUGCCGUAACUUCGGGAGAAGGCACGCUGAUAUGUAGGUGAAGCGACUUGCUCGUGGAGCUGAAAUCAGUCGAAGAUACCAGCUGGCUGCAACUGUUUAUUAAAAACACAGCACUGUGCAAACACGAAAGUGGACGUAUACGGUGUGACGCCUGCCCGGUGCCGGAAGGUUAAUUGAUGGGGUCAGCGCAAGCGAAGCUCUUGAUCGAAGCCCCGGUAAACGGCGGCCGUAACUAUAACGGUCCUAAGGUAGCGAAAUUCCUUGUCGGGUAAGUUCCGACCUGCACGAAUGGCGUAAUGAUGGCCAGGCUGUCUCCACCCGAGACUCAGUGAAAUUGAACUCGCUGUGAAGAUGCAGUGUACCCGCGGCAAGACGGAAAGACCCCGUGAACCUUUACUAUAGCUUGACACUGAACAUUGAGCCUUGAUGUGUAGGAUAGGUGGGAGGCUUUGAAGUGUGGACGCCAGUCUGCAUGGAGCCGACCUUGAAAUACCACCCUUUAAUGUUUGAUGUUCUAACGUGGACCCGUAAUCCGGGUUGCGGACAGUGUCUGGUGGGUAGUUUGACUGGGGCGGUCUCCUCCUAAAGAGUAACGGAGGAGCACGAAGGUUGGCUAAUCCUGGUCGGACAUCAGGAGGUUAGUGCAAUGGCAUAAGCCAGCUUGACUGCGAGCGUGACGGCGCGAGCAGGUGCGAAAGCAGGUCAUAGUGAUCCGGUGGUUCUGAAUGGAAGGGCCAUCGCUCAACGGAUAAAAGGUACUCCGGGGAUAACAGGCUGAUACCGCCCAAGAGUUCAUAUCGACGGCGGUGUUUGGCACCUCGAUGUCGGCUCAUCACAUCCUGGGGCUGAAGUAGGUCCCAAGGGUAUGGCUGUUCGCCAUUUAAAGUGGUACGCGAGCUGGGUUUAGAACGUCGUGAGACAGUUCGGUCCCUAUCUGCCGUGGGCGCUGGAGAACUGAGGGGGGCUGCUCCUAGUACGAGAGGACCGGAGUGGACGCAUCACUGGUGUUCGGGUUGUCAUGCCAAUGGCACUGCCCGGUAGCUAAAUGCGGAAGAGAUAAGUGCUGAAAGCAUCUAAGCACGAAACUUGCCCCGAGAUGAGUUCUCCCUGACCCUUUAAGGGUCCUGAAGGAACGUUGAAGACGACGACGUUGAUAGGCCGGGUGUGUAAGCGCAGCGAUGCGUUGAGCUAACCGGUACUAAUGAACCGUGAGGCUUAACCUUACAACGCCGAAGCUGUU